rnacentral:lncRNA from 1 species
AACAAGCUCUUUUCUUUCUCUUUUUUUUUCAAAACUCUCUGGUAAGCACUUGAGAAGAUUUUUCGUCAGGGAGAGACGGGUGAAAGAUGUUGGAAAAAAGGAUUUUCCAGGUGGAACUUGGCCUUUUAUGUGAUGGAUGGGGAAGAAAGGGUGUGGAUUGACCCAUCAUGCACUGGGUUCUUAGAGGGGGUUUAUGUUUUUCGUUUAUUUAUGACUAGAAAUGAAAAGGGGAGGGAGGCCAAAUACAAUUCAAAUUUACUGAGGGAUGGGUUCCAG